UAGGGAAUCUUCCACAAUGGACGCAAGUCUGAUGGAGCAACGCCGCGUGAGUGAAGAAGGUUUUCGGAUCGUAAAGCUCUGUUGUUGGUGAAGAAGGAUAGAGGUAGUAACUGGCCUUUAUUUGACGGUAAUCAACCAGAAAGUAACGGCUAACUACGUGCCAGCAGCCGCGGUAAUACGUAGGUGGCAAGCGUUGUCCGGAUUUAUUGGGCGUAAAGCGAGCGCAGGCGGAAGAAUAAGUCUGAUGUGAAAGCCCUCGGCUUAACCGAGGAACUGCAUCGGAAACUGUUUUUCUUGAGUGCAGAAGAGGAGAGUGGAAUUCCAUGUGUAGCGGUGGAAUGCGUAGAUAUAUGGAAGAACACCAGUGGCGAAGGCGACUCUCUGGUCUGCAACUGACGCUGAGGCUCGAAAGCAUGGGUAGCGAACAGG
rnacentral:rRNA from 1 species